CUGAUGGCCCACUGACCAGGUCAAGGUUAAUGGCUCCCAGCAGACAGAUGGAUAGGCAAACUCCUUGGAGUGAGACUGGGAAGGCAAGCUGGGUGGGAUCCUGUUGGUUUCACAAGACCUGGAGGUCAUUUUUAAGUGCUUCUUAAGUGGAUUUUGUAUCUGAUUGCAUCCAGGCAUUCUUCACAGCUCUUAAUGGUUUUGAAAUGGAUUGAAUUCAAGUGGAGGGACAGAAGGAGGCCAAAGUACAAAACCAAGCUGUAUCAGAGUCUGUCUUCCAGGAGAGGCGUGGGGGUGAGAGUGGAAAAGUGAUUGGAGACACAGAGGAGAGUUGUCCCGUUUUGUAAGCAGCUCAGCUGUGCUGGCGAGUCUUCUGGACCAGAUCCUCUCCCAUAACUGAGGGCUGGGUGUCUUCCCACAAAACCUCUGUAACCAUGCCCAGUGGAGAAAAAUCCCCAGAUGUUCAUGUACUUCUUGUUUUUAUCUUACAUUUAAUUGGGGGCAAUGUCUGUCUUAAUUUCCUUUCUUUUUUUCUUUAAAUAACUAACUUUUUUUUUAGCUUGACUGUGUGCCAGGUAUUGUCUUAAGCACUUGACACAAAUUAUCUCAUGUGAUCCUUCCACUAAUCCUGUGAGUUCAGUGCUGCUGUUGCACCGUGUGCUGCUGUUGCACCGUGUCCAGAUGAGAACACGGAGGUUCAGAGAGGUUAGGUAACCGUCUCAGGAGCACGCAGCAGUAAGCAGGGAGGCAGGACUCCAGGCUAGCAGGCUGUCUCAGACUGUGUUCUUCAUCCUGUCUGAAGCCUCUGCUUCCCCUGGCCAGAUUUUCUGCUUUAACAAAUUGCCAUAAAGAUAAUGGGUGUCCCCAGGGAAACUGAUCAGGUGACAUAAAAUGUACUUUGAUUUAGAAUUUGGCUAAAAUAUUGUGACUCACCUCACUUGAAUAUUAGCUCCUAUUUACCCUACUGUUUCUACCAGAAAAUCCACUCAGGCUUCUAACUCUGAAGUCCAGGCAGUGGCCUCAUGUGAGGAUUGAAUGGAAUUCAUGGGCCACUGAAGCCCCUUGUCUGCCAUAUU
rnacentral:lncRNA from 1 species